rfam:TPA: Bos taurus chromosome 13, whole genome shotgun sequence.
UCCCUUGUAGCUCAGUCGGUAAAGAAUCUGCCUGCAAUGCAGGAGACCUGGGUUCGAUUCCUGGGUCAGGAA